CCUACGGGAGGCAGCAGUGGGGAAUAUUGGACAAUGGGGGGAACCCUGAUCCAGCCAUGCCGCGUGUGUGAAGAAGGCCCUCGGGUUGUAAAGCACUUUCAGUGAGGAAGAACGCCUGGUGGUUAAUACCCAUCAGGAAAGACAUCACUCACAGAAGAAGCACCGGCUAACUCCGUGCCAGCAGCCGCGGUAAUACGGAGGGUGCGAGCGUUAAUCGGAAUUACUGGGCGUAAAGCGCGCGUAGGUGGCUUGAUAAGCCGGUUGUGAAAGCCCCGGGCUCAACCUGGGAACGGCAUCCGGAACUGUCAAGCUAGAGUGCAGGAGAGGAAGGUAGAAUUCCCGGUGUAGCGGUGAAAUGCGUAGAGAUCGGGAGGAAUACCAGUGGCGAAGGCGGCCUUCUGGACUGACACUGACACUGAGGUGCGAAAGCGUGGGUAGCAAACAGGAUUAGAUACCCUUGUAGUA
rnacentral:rRNA from 1 species